GCGUAAAGAGCUCGUAGGUGGUUUGUCGCGUUGUUCGUGAAAUCUCACGGCUUAACUGUGAGCGUGCGGGCGAUACGGGCAGACUUGAGUACUGCAGGGGAGACUGGAAUUCCUGGUGUAGCGGUGGAAUGCGCAGAUAUCAGGAGGAACACCGGUGGCGAAGGCGGGUCUCUGGGCAGUAACUGACGCUGAGGAGCGAAAGCGUGGGGAGCGAACAGGAUUAGAUACCCUGGUAGUCCACGCCGUAAACGGUGGGUACUAGGUGUGGGUUUCCUUCCUUGGGAUCCGUGCCGUAGCUAACGCAUUAAGUACCCCGCCUGGGGAGUACGGCCGCAAGGCUAAAACUCAAAGAAAUUGACGGGGGCCCGCACAAGCGGCGGAGCAUGUGGAUUAAUUCGAUGCAACGCGAAGAACCUUACCUGGGUUUGACAUGCACAGGACGCCGGCAGAGAUGUCGGUUCCCUUGUGGCCUGUGUGCAGGUGGUGCAUGGCUGUCGUCAGCUCGUGUCGUGAGAUGUUGGGUUAAGUCCCGCAACGAGCGCAACCCUUGUCUCAUGUUGCCAGCGGGUAAUGCCGGGGACUCGUGAGAGACUGCCGGGGUCAACUCGGAGGAAGGUGGGGAUGACGUCAAGUCAUCAUGCCCCUUAUGUCCAGGGCUUCACACAUGCUACAAUGGCCGGUACCAAGGGCUGCGAUGCCGCGAGGUUAAGCGAAUCCUUUUAAAGCCGGUCUCAGUUCGGAUCGGGGUCUGCAACUCGACCCCGUGAAGUCGGAGUCGCUAGUAAUCGCAG
rnacentral:rRNA from 1 species